UGAGAACGGGAUUGCCUAUGAAAGUUAUCUGAUUGACUCUGCAAAUUGAUAAGUAUGUUUCACAAAACCAGGUGUCUGAUCGUUGACUCUUUAUGCUUGGAUGCUUUGACCGGUGAGUAUACUGCAUCAAUCAAUCAUAUGGCUCGAAGUCCUGAUGGAACCCUCUUUGUGUUGCAUACUUGAAGGAUGUUGUGCAUAUAUACUAAUACCAUGGUGGUGAUGAUCUCCAAAACCACUUGGAGCUUUGCGUCUACAAUAGCAACAUCGAUAGAAGAUACGGGAGCAUGAAGGCAUGGUUUCCCCAACUACCAAUCUAUGCAAUUGAAGAAUACAACUCAGGUUUAAACAUUCUAGACAUAUAGGAGUAACGGUGAAGAUGGGUUGGGUCAGAAGCGAAGUAGCAGAUUUUAUGCACUAAUAUAUGCUUGGGUUGUUUUGACCCGUCAAACCCGUUUCAAAUACAUUUAUAUGAUUUUACUAACUGUUAAAUAUAGCUCUAAUGUUAGAUACUUUUGUUCAGGCACAUCAUAUAAUUGGACUGCCUAAAUCAUAUGAUUAGGCCGGUGGGUGUGGCAUGGCGCCACCCCGCCACAUCAUCGUCGACAGCGCCCGUGGGGCGCCACCAUCCACACCGCACGACUUAAAGGGGGGCGGCAUGGGUUGUUCGCCAGCACGUUAACGAGGUAGAAUUGAGCUGAUCGAGGGGUGUUUGGUCAAAAUGGGGCGCUAUAGUGUAAAGUGGGUAGUUAAACCACACCCUCCAUGUUAAAGGAAGGGGCUUUAAAGCCCCCUGUGUGACGUGGACAUGAUGUGGCACUGAGGUGGCGUGAUAAAGCCCCUACCACACCCUCCAGCCUUAGGCUACCAAAAAAACUGGAAAAAGAGAAUAGAUACAACACAUAAUUUGAUCUCAAAAGUUCCACACUACACUGUAAGUUUACAUUUAUCAACAUCUAAAUAACUAUAAGAAAAAUGAUUACUACCUCUAAAUAAGAUUUCAUAAAUAGGUGAAAAGGAAAAAAAAUCCAAAGUUCUGUUAACAAUUUCCAGUUGACCAUGAAGCUAAACACAAUUUUCCCUUCAGUUUUUUUUAAUAUUUUCUUUAACAAUGUUUUUUAGGCGUUUCACCCUUCUCAACCAAUGGGCACUAGCCAGGGAUGAAGACCAGCCGCUCCUCAUGCAUUAGGUCAAAGAAUGAGCAUGGUUUUUUUUCUUUUCAAAUAGAUAUUGUGACAUUUUUAAUGAGGCAAUAAAAGUUUAGCUUUGACGUAUUAUUCGUUUUCCUUUGGUAACUUUAAAGAGUUCCGCCUUUGUCUUUCAUACUGUCUAAUUUAUUUUAAUGCCAACAUUUAUAUCUUGAGUUUACUUGUAUAAUUUUAAGCUGUGAUCUUAAGGUCAUGGGUUCAAGCCGUGGGAAACAACCUCAUGCACAAGGUAUAGGGUAAGGUUGCGUACAUCAACUCGCAAAGCGAUCCUGCCCCUUCCUGGACGGCUGGACCCUAUGCAAUUGUGGAAGUUAAGUCAAGCACCGGGUACACCCUUUACAAUAACAAGGUGUAUUUUUUUCAAUUAUUAGUUUUGUUUGAUGCUUCACUAAUGAAUUGUUUGUCAAUAUCAUAUAAACGGACUCUUACUGAAUAAGAACUUGGUGGUUGAUUGUUUGUUGACCAUUAAAAUUGGAUAAAUGUGAAUUUUGGUAACCUAUUUCAUGUACAUAAGUAAGAAACUUUAAUUUUGCAUAACAAGGUACAUACUUUGGUGUCUAAUUCAAGUAAGUUAUCAUGACAUCCAACCUUUUAGAUGUGAGCUUUUGUACCUUGGCCUAAAACCCAAGGUAGAAUUCUUGAAGUUGAUGAAAUGAGUGAAUGAUAUAUAAAUGCAGGGAGCUUGAGCUUAAAGUUAUAGCUUCUAGGGUUUAUGUGGUAAUCAUGUUCGGAGGAGUGAAGAUAAUGAGCAUUUCUUUUCAGAUUUUUAUUUGUAGAAAAACUUGUCUUUGGCCAUUACUA